GAGGGAUUCUCCAAUCCCCUUCGUCCGCGCCCGGUGCUCGACCUCGAGAACAAGCAAAAAGGUCAAACCCUAGCCGCCAAACCCUCUCGUCCCGAGCCCCGCACCCCCUCUCCCACGCCGCCGCCCCUCUCCCCGCUCGCCUUGACGGCCUCCUCUCCUCCCCGUGCCGCCGCCCGCCUCCCUUCUCCCUGGAGCAGAGAUGCCUCAGUAGGGCAGCGUCUCCAUGGACGUCAGUAGCAGCAGCGCCUCCAUGGACGCGGCGGCGUGACGGCUCGCCGGGGUGGAUCCCCUCCUCCGGCCCCAUCCUGCACCUCUCCGGCUGCCCAGUUGCAACGCAGCAGCAGCAGGCGACCUGCAGCAGCUCCUUCCUACCUUCCAUGGACGAGCUCGACGGAGACGUUGUCCAGCCCGACCACGGCCACGACUACCUCACGCACAAGUCACGCCUGUCGGGGUGACUAUUGCUUUGCUGCAGCAGAGUUUGCAACGGAUGCUUGCUUCCUGAGGUGAGUGACCACCUAUGCAUCGUGACGGCGGUGGAUGAUGGCAUCACCUACAAAACCCCAAUGUUGAGCUCUCUCUCUGCUCGCUCUGAGCCGUGCCUGUCAAGACAAGGUUAUCUCAUGCUAGGGUUGUUCACUUGCCAUGUACUACUACAAGAAUUGUCGCUGUCCUCUGUUUAUUUUCCCCUUGCUGUACAUGUUAUUAUGGUUUAUUAAGUGCUCGAUUGAUGAUCUGCUAAUCAUGUGAUCACUACUUCAGUUAGUGUUCUAAAUGCUUAACUAACUGCGCCUCAAACGGCAGCUGCUCUUCUCCGCCUUGGACCAGAACCCUGGCAGCUGGAUAAGAGCAGAGGAGCGAGCAGAGCAGAUGGUUCAGCCGGCCUCCUCUCUCUCCCUCCCCUUGCUUUCACUCGCUUUUGGCACCCUCACUGCCAUUGGCUGCAUACCCAAGUUCAUCUCUCCCUUUCUUUGCCCCUGUGUCUCUUAUUUAUUUGAUUUGAUCUGAGAAUGGAAUCACUAGCGAUAUGUAUUUUCGAUUUAGGUCUUCAGAAAGAGUAUGGGAUGUCUGAGCAAGCUUUUUAUCCAUGCAUUUUUUCCUAUUGCAAUAUUUAGUUGAUUUCGCAAUAGAAGAUUUGGACAUAUUCCUUGUAGAUCUAGGCCUGUAAUCCACGUGUUUGUUACUCUUCAACAUUCAGAUCAAGAAGUAUUUAUAUCAACUUUUUCCCAAAUUACACACAAUUUUCAAGUUCUUUCAUUUUCUUUAAGGAGCUCCUUCAGUUUGUAUGCUUGAAUAUCUGAAGUAGUUCUGCAUUCUGACAUGUUCUCCUGCAUCUCUCUUUAUGUUCUACAGAUAAUUGAUGAAAAAACUUUGAUAAAGAAAUACCGGCGUCGUCUCAUUGUCUUCAUCGACAUGAGCAUCUCUGUCAGACCACGCGUCCAUGCCUUCUCAUCUACCUUGCUGGAGUGGCCGCCUCCUCGCUGAUGUAUUGCGCUGCAUCGACCUUCCUCUGCUGCCGCUGCCCGGGUCCCUCCGCUCGCUCCUGCCGAGAAAUUGCAGGCUGAGGUGAGCACCAUGAGGAUGAGGAGGUCAGUGGCUGAUAUAGAGAGCUCCUCGAACGGGGAAGUAGCAGUUUUGGAGAAACUCGAAGAUGUCAUGUUCAGUUUUGAUGGGAAUCGCUACAACAACAAUUAGAAGAGACUGCAUUUCAGGUUCAGAACCAAUUUCUAGGGGUAUGUACAAGUUGUUUUUAUUCCAUCUUGGUUUUAAAUUGGUUUUAGAUUGGUGAAUUAGCAUAGCAUAAUGAAUGUUGAGCUUCAUUUCAUCUACAUUUGGUUCUGAACAUGUGUGCAUUUAAGAAACCUCGUAUUCUUCCCUAUUUUUAAGAUCCUACAAAGAGACUAAAAAAAUGGUGAUAGGCAUGUCCAGAAUGUCGAAAGCUUCAUUUUGGUCCAUUAGAUAGUUUAUAGGUUUGUCACUGGAGGUUGGCUGUCACAUAGGGUUCCUGCUUGUAAAAAUUAUAUACAGCUAUGAAUGCUCCAUAGUUCUUCAUGCAACACAGCUAAUUGCUGAAUCUGCAAUGCAUGCUUAUUUUUUUGCAGAAGCUUAGUGGAUGAAUUAGCAUUGUGUAAAGUCUGUCUAAGCUCCUGUCUCUCUUCUUUCUAUAAACUGGAUGGCCAGGAUAGAUUUCUUAAUAACAUUUUGGGAUUGUUUGAGCACUGGACAAUGUUAACAGGUUUACCAUUUCUCAUUUCUUAAUACCAUUUUGGGAUUGUUUGAGCACUAUACCAAUGUUUUGCUUUCUGCUAAAGUCAAAGAUAUUGUAUCCUUGAACGUUUUUCAAUUAUUGCCAAUACAUGCCAAAUUCUGCAUAUUCCUUAAGGUGACACUGAUUUUGGUUUUACUUCCCAUCUGCAUCCUCUUAUAUCGUAGGCGAGAAAUUUAUUAAAAUAUUGUAUUGGUUCCAAAAUAAUAUUUUCGGUGAAAUAGGGUGAUAAUUUCAGUAUCACUCAAUAUGUAUCAUUGUCUGUAGAAAAUAUAAAGGUACAUGCACUCAUCUGUUUUAUCUGCAUGACCUAAUUGUAAUAGAUGACCAGCGAUUUAAGAUUUGAGCCAUUGUGGCUACUUUUUAUGAUUUUCAAAUGGGUUACAUGCGGAUUGUCGUUUUAUUUAUGAGCACCUUCGUCUUGCUAUCGCCACAAUGGGAAAUUGAUCACGGUGGCAAUAUGCCCUUCUAUGCUGUCUGAUUGACUCUUUUUAUUAGCAUGGAGAAUACCCUUUAGUUCACUAAGAUUAGUGUCUAUUCACAUUAUUCUUAUAUAAAAAAGAUUAUUGUGCUAAAAAAUUGCAUGACAUUUUGGCAAAACAUUGUUUAGUAAAAAGUUAUGUAGAGGUGAAUUUUAGAGGUGAAAUGUUGUGGAUGUUCUGACUGGGAUAUGCUUGGAUUAACUUUAGCGUGACACCUUAUUCAAUAUCUGUGUAUUGGGUUCUACUAAUUGUCAGCGCCUUAAUUUUCUUUCCUCCCAAUGCCAUGUGAUAUUUACUGGACUUCAAAUCACGUGCUUGCAAGUCGUUGUUGUGUCCCACUCCCCCUCCCAUCAUCUUGGCUUGCAGGUCGCCGCCGUGUCUCUAGCCAGUCCAUGACAUGGCUUGAAAUCUAGCUAGGUUGUUGCCAAGUUAACUUAGGAUUGGUAACCUACAAUGUAUUAGUGUAGCAAGCACAUGGGAAGGUGGGAUUACAUUUUAUACUCUUGAAACUAUGUAGAAUUUUGCAUGUACAUUUUUCACUAAAGCAAAAUAGAGAUCCCCUAACUAACAGAUCUAUGUUGGCUAUGAUCGCACCUUUUUACAUUGUCAUAUUUGUAGAUAUACUGUAUGAUGGAGUAUCAACUAGCUGCCUUUGGUCGCACUUAGUAUAAAAGUCUCAUAUAUUGUCGUGUAUGUACGUUCUGCAUCAUACAACAACAUACCAUUAGUGUUUAUUAUACUGUCAUGCCUCUACUUCUCUGUUGUAUACAUAGUUGCUUGUAUAUCUACUUGGAUUGUUUGCUGAACAAUUUCUCUAAUGUACAUCUCUGAAAUUACUAAUAUAUGGAUUUUCAGAUCCAAGAAAGAGAUAGGACCAAGGAAAUUAGGUAAAAACACCAGCAUGUUGUUUGUGGUUCAUGCAUGGUUGUAGUGAAGAUGUGCAUGCAUUGCUGACCAUGGAGCAUUGCAAGGCUUCAGUAUAUGUACCGCAACUCAGAGACUGGACACAGUGCCACUUGCUACAACCACCAUGCAAGUGGUCGAUGCUUUAGUGUUGAACUAUUGAUUAGUCCCUCUUUUUUCUAUAAUCUAUGUGAUGAUGUCCCUUUCCAUGAAAACUUGCUAUGUGGAUUCAAUAGAAAUGAUGUUUUAGACAUGUUUGAUAGUUAUGAAACAAAUGCCAUAGACGAUAGCUAUUACUAUUCUUGAGACGUUUCGAACUGUGAAAAAUAGCAAAUGAACAAUAGGCUAUUAUAGAGAUGUUUUACUGGACUAUUGUUUAUUUGCUAUUCAAUGGUGUCUCCACAA